CAAAGACCCUCUUGACAAAACAAAUGCUGAAUCUCCAGCACUACCACCAGGACCAACACCAAAACCAGCCUCAGCACCAGAACUAGAACCAGAAUCAGCACCAACACCAGCACCUUCAGCUGAACAAGAAAUUGGGUCAACAAUACCAUCUGGGCCAGCACCUGAGCCUGAAUUUUUUGACAGUGGAGAGGGUUAUGGCCUCUAUGGUAGAGGCUCUUAUAGCCAAUACCCUCCCACCAAGGAGACUCCUACCACCACCACGACCUUUCAAAAUGAGCUUCUCAAUGAAGACUUCAAUGAUGAGAGCUACAAAACUGGCUACCCCAAAACCAAUCUCUACAACAACAACAAUGAGGA
rnacentral:lncRNA from 1 species